UUUGGCACAGCAACCAAGAGAAAUAACCAUGGAGUACUCAGCGGUCCCCUCUGUGACUUUGAUCAUUGGUUGUGGUCUGUCCUGUCUCGCCUUGAUCCUGUUGCUAGUGGUCUAUGCUAUUCUAUGGAGAUAUAUACGGUCUGAGCGGUCCAUCAUCCUAAUCAACUUCUGCCUGUCAAUCAUCUCCUCCAACCUCCUCAUCCUGGUUGGACAGACACAGACACACAAUGCGGUAAGAUUCCAUGUUGUACUGCAUGCGCUUUAACUGCUUUACUCAAACACACGACUCACAAUGCAGGUUGUGUUUAUAUGUUGUAUUGGAAGAGACAUACCUGUACAUACAGGCAAUUCAUGCACUUUAACAUGCUUUAAUCAACAACAGACACACUGUGGUACAUUACAUGUCUAUUUAUCUUGUUGGCAAGUGGAGUGUUGUUGGCAAACUUUACUCAACCACAGUAGCUGUUUAACCACUCUACUGAUACUCACUGUAGUUUAACCACU